CCUACGGGUGGCAGCAGUGGGGAAUAUUGGGCAAUGGAGGAAACUCUGACCCAGCAACGCCGCGUGAAUGAUGAAGGUCUUCGGAUUGUAAAGUUCUUUUCUAAGGGAAGAAGAAAGUGACGGUACCGUAGGAAUAAGCCUCGGCUACCUACGUGCCAGCAGCCGCGGGAAAACGGAGGAGGCAAGGGUUAUCCGGAAUGACUGGGCGUAAAGGGGGCGUAGGGGGUUUGAGAAGUGGGUAGCGUAACUCCGAGGCUCAACCUCGGCACUACUACCAAAACGGUCGGACUGUAGUGCAGGAGGGGCAACUGGAAUUCCUAGUGUAGCGGUGGAAUGCGUAGAUAUUAGGAGGAACACCCGUGGCGCUGGCGAGUUGCUGGACUGUAACUGACACUGCGGCACGAAAGCGUGGGGAGCAAACAGGAUUAGAUACCCCAGUAGUC
rnacentral:rRNA from 1 species